rnacentral:rRNA from 1 species
UACAGAGGUCUCAAGCGUUGUUCGGAUUCAUUGGGCGUAAAGGGUGCGUAGGCGGCGCGGUAAGUCGGGUGUGAAAUUUCGAGGCUUAACUUCGAAACUGCAUUCGAUACUGCCGUGCUUGAGGACUGGAGAGGAGACUGGAAUUCAUGGUGUAGCAGUGAAAUGCGUAGAGAUCAUGAGGAAGACCAGUGGCGAAGGCGGGUCUCUGGACAGUUCCUGACACUGAGACACGAAGGCCAGGGGAGCAAACGGG